GCCACCUCCUCCUCCACGAGGACCCCCUCCUGGGCCAACACCUCCCCCCCCAGGCCCACCUUAUCAGCCACCAACACCCUCACCUAGACCACCACCCCAACGUCCUUCUCCUCGACCACCACCUGCAUACCAGCCCCCAGCACCACCUGGGGCCAGACCACCAUCCCCUCAAGCACCACCACCUUUCCCUGGACC